rnacentral:rRNA from 1 species
AAUCCCGUGAACCAUCGAGUCUUUGAACGCAAGUUGCGCCCGAAGCCUUCGGGCCGAGGGCACGCCUGCCUGGGCGUCACGCAUCGNGUNGCCCCCUCCCCCCCGCUCCGCGGAGCGUGGGGGGGCGGAAACUGGCCUCCCGUGCGCCCCCGUCGUGCGGCCGGCCC